rnacentral:rRNA from 1 species
ACAUGCCUACAACAUAGCGUUAAUGCACCUGCUACCAUUAGAACUCUGCAGUUAAGCGUGCUCGGGCUAGAGUUGUAUUGGGAUGGGUGAUCGCCCGGGAAGUCCUAGUAUUUUACAUGCC